AUGGCCAACUGCAGCAGUGUAUCCAGUCUCGUCCUUCUGGUCCUGCUAGGCCUCUGGGUAGCCACCAUCCACUCAGAGACCGUGGAAGACCCCACGCCAACUUUACAAGGGGACAACCAGGACACACUGUCCGGUGGCGGGACAUAUGACGUCACCACCAAAGAUCCCUUCAAGGACAUGACGGAGAGAGUGUUAACCUUCGAGUAUGAGGACACCACCCACUCACAGGUCAUGGAUGAGGAGGAAGGUGAGACAGGCGCUUCAUGUCAUUCAUUUUUCCAGAACAUUUCCCAUCACCAGUUUAUUAAUAUCAAUAAUUUCGGUUGUACCCAGAGGAUUAAGAAAAUUAUAUACUUCUGCCAUUAUUUGCAUGGCAAGAGACAUUGGUGAAAGCACAGUGGUGGGGUUAUUUGUGUCUAUUAGUUGUUCCACACCACAACCCCUUUAAAUGUAAUGAAUUGGUAAUAAACAAUACAAUUGUAUUUAGACUUUGAACACAAUUUUACUUUGAAUUUGACUUGACAAUCAUGGUUUAUACACUAGUGUCUAACCUUUGCGUGUUGCAUGUACUAUGUGUGUCCAGGUGUCCUGGGCCCGGGCGCCAUCACAGCUAUUGUCAUCGCUGUCUUCCUGGGGGCUUCAGUCCUCCUCGCCCUCAUUGUCAUCACACUCAGGAAGUUCACCGCUUCCUAGAGCCACAAAUUCCUCUUCCUCCCUUUCAAUCUCUCACACUUUUCUUACCUCCACUUCUCUCUCAUUCAUCUAUCUUCAUGGUCUUUCUUGCCCAUUCUCUCACUUUUGCUCAGUUUCUCUUAUACCCACACAUAUUGUGAAAGUGACAACCCUUCUAUAACCCCUGGACGCUCUAAUAUAAUGGCAGGUCCCUUUAGCCUUGAAGCGCAACCAACAAUGAAUUUCCUUCAGACUCUAGCUACUAUAAUCAUAUUGUUUAUGUUGGCACACAUGUCAGCUUGUUACUAAAUGGUCAAUCCUAGCUUCCACUCAAGUCAAAAUUGACUUACAACAGAGACUGGCAGGUUCUUCCAGUGUAUACAGGUAACUGCCAAAAUAAUGGAAACACUUGAGUAAAUGAGAGAGAAAGUAUAUUGAAAGCAGGUGCUUCCACACAGGUGUGGUUCCUGAGUUAUUUCAACAAUUAACAUCCCAUCAUGCUUAGGGUCAUGUAUAAAAAUGCUUAUCAGGCCAUUAUUUUGGCUAACAUGACUAUGCCCCCCCCAUAGGAUGACAACAGGGCACAUCCACAGGGCACAAAUGGUCACUGAGUGGUUUGAUGAGUAAACGAUGUAAACCAAAUGCCAUGGCCAUCUGUCACCAGAUGGGAUAUUCUGGAGUGGUGCUUGUGACAGCAUUUUCCACCACCAUCAACAAAACACCAAAUUAUGGAAUUUCUCAUGGAAGAAUGGCAUUGCAUCCCUCCAAUAGAGUUCCAGACACUUGUAGAAUCUGGUGCAUUGAAGCUGUUCUGGCGCAUGGUGGCCCGACGCCCCCUAUUAAGACACUUUACGUUGGUGUUUCCUUUAUUUUGGCAGUUACAAUCAGAUCCACUUUAGCCAACAUCCGCUUAGCGGAUAAUGCCAGAGGUGAACUGCAUUAUAGCUGUCAAAUCUAGUGGCUCCAGGCAUUACACCAAAAGCAGACAUCUCCCUUGGUCACAUUAAGAGAAAUCCAAUGCCUGUCAAGAUUUCUUAAAGAUUUUUGAACAAUGUAUCUGUUAUACUAAUCUGUAAUGAGCAUUUGGCUGAUCAGUGGGCAACGGCUGGUCCCCUUACCAAGAUGGGCCACCUCAGUUUUCUGAUAGGCUGAGUUGAGAUCACGCCCCCCCCCCCCUGCUCAUAGUAGUGGCUGGAGUGGUGUUAAUGCAAUGGUAUUAAAAAACAGUCUCCAAGUGCUUGAUACCAUUCCAGUGAUUCAAUUCCAGUUGUUAUUAUGAGCCCCCCCACUGUAAUUCAUCUCUUUUGAAAACAAAAUGUAUGUCUAAUGAUCUGUAGUUUACAGUUGUGUGUCCAAGUGUUUUGUCGAGCAUUGUGAUUUGUUUUUGUAGAAGUCUUUUUUUCUGACGGUUAUGUUGUGGGUUAGAGUAUCCUGUCUCAGAUUUAGUUUGUCUUGUGGAUGAAAGGGUGUGAUGAGUGUGUCUUUGAAGAUUGUUCCACCAUGUUCAUUAUGUUGCAGUAAUACUGAGUGCCUUAAAAGGCAAGUGUUAUUGACAAUAGAAUGAGAAUGAAAUCAUUUACCAAAUGCAGGCUAUCAUAUAAUAUGCCAGAUUUAUUUCCCCAAUGCCCACAAUGUGUUACUGUUUAUUGGCAAAUAGGUGUUCAAAAGAAACGUUUGCCUAUUUACAGGUGACCCAUAUUGACCCAAAAAUCUAAUAUUUUAAGAUGAACAUGCUUCAAUAAAUAAACAUAGAUGGGGUAAUUAGUUUGUUUAACCUGCAAAUCACAUUUUAACCUCUGGUCUAAAAAGACAAUGACAACUGUUGUGAGUGUGUUUGUGUAUGAGUGCAUGUGUGUGAUACUUUUUGAUACGUUAUGUCACCAUUUUCUGUAUUCCUCUGUGGCCUUUUACCAAACAACUAACUAAGGCUGGGAUUCAUUACCUGCCAUAGAAAUGUUUACGAGGUGUCUUUAUUUACACACUUCAUCCCGUGCCCACACUUCAUCCCGUACCCACACCCACAAUUCUGAAAAGUGUAAGCAGUCCUGAGGAGGAUCGCCCUGGUGUAGUUGCAGGUUUUAUACAGUACCCAAUACCAGUCUGUGUUAAUUUGACGAUGGAAAAAGAGCUACUGCAUAAAUACUGCAAUGUGGGUUUGGUUUAUCUGAGCCCUAAUGCUUUUGUGAAACAAAUAUUUUUUCAUAUAAUAAUAUCACUGGUUUGAACGGUCUGGUUAAAAAAAUAAAAGAUUAAACAAAUCCCUUUGUACAGCCAAAUAGUAGUUAUUAGUUCGUCUUGACAUUGACUUCAAAUGUAUAUGGGUAUUUUUUAUAUGUAAGGUCGGGAAUAGAAAAUGAAAGUACAAACCGGUAGUUUCAUUACACUGAAUUAAACUGAUAUAUCUGAGAUUGGACUGAUGCAAUACACACUGAAGAGUGGGAGUGAGUCAUUCACAUGUGCUCAAUGCUGGAUAUGCUAGCUAGACAACAUACAGUAGGUGUUCAGUUUGUCUCUCAGCAAAACGGGAACAACGAGUCAUUGCAACACAUAAUUCAAGUACUGUACAUCCCAUCGUGGUUCUAGAUUAGAACUAGAGCUGGUUCUGGUUUGAACCAGACCCCUGUCAUCCGGGUUGUGUUCAACAGGCACCAACAAAAGUUGAAGUGUCAAAACAACAUUGCAUUAGGCGGGGCUGUAAGAUCAUAUCUAUUUAGCAGAUUCUGACUGGCAAUCAGUUUGAGGACUAUGGCCAUUCAUACUGUACUCAAUACCAGUGUGACUGUUAAUGUGCAUAUAUUCUACACUUUUUCUGCUACUGUAUGGUUCAUUUCCUAGUCGUUUUCUCACUUCCCCCAUGUCAGGUUGUUACCACUGCUGCUCUACAUACUGUAUGUUUGGAAACUUAACGUAAUAUUUUCAACUUAUAAUACUGUUGUUAUACUGUAAUAAUAACCAGCAAUAUACACAGUUAAAGGUCAUCAGUGGGCCUCCCGGGUGGCGCAGUGGUUAAGGGCUGCAGUGCCAGUUGUGCCACCAGAGACCCUGGGUUGCCAGGUGCACGGUGUUUCCUCCGACACAUUGUUGCGGGUUGGAUGGCGCUGUGUUAAGAAGCAGUGCGGCUUGGUUGGGCUGUGUAUCGGAGGACGCAUGACUUUCAAACUUCGUCUUUCGCGAGCCCGUACUGGAGUUGUAGCGAUGAGACAAGAUGGUAGCUUUAAUUGGGGAGGAAAAGGGGUAAAAUUGUAAUAAAUAAAUAAAUAAAAGUAAUCAGUGAUUGGACCAUCUCUAAGUAAUCAGAGUAUCAAAGUCAAUAACACAUUUUCUAAACACUGCUUUACCCAUGUAUGUUCUGGCUCUAGCCCCAGUGAUUGGACCAUCUCUAAGUAAUCAGAGUAUCAAACACUGCUUUACCCAUGUAUGUUCUGGCUCUAGCCCAACCCAUUGGUUUCUGAGACCAAUCAGAACGGUUAAAUGUGUUUGCUUUCUAGAAAUCUAUGGUUGGUUUGUGGCCUUUCUCUCUUUCCCUUUCUGUCUGUUCAUGGCUGUCACUCUC
ensembl:lncRNA